rnacentral:rRNA from 1 species
UACGUAGGUGGCAAGCGUGUGUCCGGAUUUAUUGGGCGUAAAGCGAACGCAGGCGGGAAGACAAGUCAGAUGUGAAAGCCCUCGGCUUAACCGAGGAAUUGCAUCUGAAACUGCCUUUCUUGAGUGCAGAAGAGGAGAGUGGAACUCCAUGUGUAGCGGUGGAAUGCGUAGAUAUAUGGAAGAACACCAGUGGCGAAGGCGGCUCUCUGGUCUGUAACUGACGCUGAGGUUCGAAAGCAUGGGUAGCGAACAGG